GGCCCAAAUUGGAAGUAGAGUAGAUUGUAAGGAUUAUUUCACCCUACCAAACUACUCUACUUCGAGUUUGUGCCC
rfam:Haemonchus contortus, ISE/inbred ISE, WGS project CAVP01000000 data, contig: Hcontortus_10559